rnacentral:pre_miRNA from 1 species
UGUAAUAUCUCAUUGUCUUUGGCUUCUUUACAGUGCUGCCUUGUUGCAUAUGGAUCAAGCAGCAUUGUACAGGGCUAUGAAGACAAUGAGUCUUGCU